CUAAAUCAUUUACAACGAAACUACUGAAAUAGUGAAAUCAGUUUGCAACCGGGAAAAACUACAGAAGAACUACUGAAAUCGACGAAGGAUUUCCGCUGCUGCUUGCCUGCUUCCGCUGCUACUGAAAUCGACGAAAGAAAUCGUGUUUCCUGGCCGCUGCUUCCAAGGUAGAAAUCGCGUUUCUACUUUCUAGAUGGGUAUACCUAACGUGUAGUACUGUAUUUUGCAUAAGAAAAAUAAAUGUCGCAUAUUGGACCGCAUAUGCGACCAGGCGGUCGCAUAUGCAGUAUGCGGUCCCAGGCAUCGCCUGGUCGCCUGGCCGCGUUAAAAAGCUUGAUUUUAGGUACCCCCUCUAUCCCAUACAACAAAUAACAUGUCCUCCAUAGUUGACUUUCUAGAUUUAAAUCUAGAUCUAUAUAUCAUACACAAUACGCACAUCCACAACUAUACGUCGUGCCAACUCUGAUAUCAGUAAAGAUCUGCUCUCAUGCUUCCUCCGGUUACGCUCACCCCAAAUUGCCCAUGUGCUUGACCCAAAAAUAGUCCAACACAUGCCCCAUGCAGAUGAUCGUCGUGUUCUCGUGUCUGCCCAGUCCAUAUAUGAUCCGAUCCCUACAUCUGUCAGUGUCAAGAAGUCCCCUAUAUACCUACGGAUCUGUCUCCAUAUAUCUUUGGAAUAACUACAUCCGAAAUAUAUAUGGUCGAAGCUCUCUGGCUCUAUCGUUCACAACCAUCACUGCUUAGGUUGAGGGUACCCCCACCCAAUCAGCUUGUCCUGCAUCGUGAUUUUUCGAAGGCUGGCUCUCUACAUCGUCAUAGCAUACUUAUUGACGUUUGGUGCCCAUAUCCCUACUGCUUUGCCUUCCCUUGGUCUCCUCUCUCUGAUCGUGUCCCACACGUUCUGAAAUGUGAAGCUUGUGCCACUCCAUGUCCAUGUGCAUAUGUAAUCCUCUCCACAAGUCAUGCCCCUACUUAUCUUCUGCCUCUUAUCCAUAAGCUCUAACCAUGCCGGUGAGUCAACUCCACUACGUCUCUGGAUGUCUGCAAGUGCCCUUCCUCUGACAUACCUCUCGCGCAUCCAUCUGACCCAAAUAGAAUCCUCUGCAUUCCAGAUCCUCCACACUCUCUUCAUUACUGAUGCCAUAAUUGUAUCCUCGAAUCGUCUGAAACCAAUUCCACCCUCAACCUUUGGUAACGUCAUUUGGUCCCAACUGACCUCUUUCUUCCUAUCCCAUAAGAAUCUGUAUGUCAGGCUCUGCAACUGAUGAAAUAAUUUUGAGCAUGCAGAUAUAUUUUGUCCAUGUUCUUGAUGAACUCGAACGGUUGGAUAGUCGUUGGCAGUGACUGUCAAAAAAAGAAAUCGUAAUAAUCUUGGAAAUCCCAAAUAAAAUUACGAAAUAGAAAUCAGAGAUAGUGAUCAAACCAAGUACGGAGAUUUUCCAAGAACAUUCAAUCGAGAGAGAGAGUUCUGGUCCAUUCCGGAGUGGUUGUUGGGUUUUGGGUAGAGCUGGGAGUGUGUUUGAGGGACCGUGAGGGAGUGUGGGUGGGGUUGGGGAUUGACAUGAAUGGGGUUGAUGGUGGGAGUGACAAUAAUUGAAACAAUAGCUUUCAUUGUAUUCAUUCUAAUAACAUGACUAUAGGUGUUUAUGAAUAUUACUCUUUCUUCUUGAUCGAUUAUAGUAUUUGGCUACUAAUCUGGCUUUAUAUCUUUCCACAGAUCCAUCUGAUUUUUUCUUAAUUUUAAACACCCAUCUACACCCUACUAAUCUACUAUAUUCAUUGUAGAGUCUUUAGGAACAAGAGUCCAUGUACUAUUCACUUUUAGAGCCUCUAGUUCUUGAUGCAUAGCAGUUCUCCAUUUAGGUUCCUUAUAUUUCUAAGGUUGUAUAUCUCUAGAAAAGUUGGGGGGAAUGGUAGAAAGUAUUAGAGAUAGAAGUCAUAAAGACGUGCUAGCCAAGGGAAUUUGAUCGAAGAUACCAACAAAAUUCUUUAUUCUCCCGUGAAGGGUGAAAUGGAAUCACCUAAACACGUUCAGGAAAUUGAGAAGUUGGAAAGUGCAAGUAUCUCCUGCUUGCCUAUUUCAACUACUCUUAUUUCAGGUUUCUUCUAAUUCCGUUGACUGAACACCUGAAUUUCACCUCCUGGAGAAUAAUGAAUAUUCUAGUUUCCACCCAAUCUAGUCUGGAUAUUAGGUUGGGGGAUCUUACAAAGGCUACGUAAAAAUUCACACACUACUCCCCCCUUGGGGACUACUAUGGAAUGUCAUUGGGUGUUUAUCGUGACAUAUAUGGACAAAAAAAAAGAUACAAACAAAACAUUAGUAGCUAGGCCUCCUGAGGUAGUCCAUAAGGAGAUCAUUAAGGACAUCAGUCUCUCAUUUGAUCUGAAAUGUUAUAAGAAGAGUUGUUGUCACUCUUUGAAGACUUUUAUGAUGAAAGUAUGAAAGACUAACCUCCUGAGAAAGCGUAUCUAAUUACUUUAUAACUAUACUACAUAACUAAUAGGAGAGAGUCAAUGGAUUUCUUGCUCUUUUUUUACUUCUAUUUGUAUUCUCUAUUUUGUAAUUUGGGCAUUGCCCUUCUUUUUAAAGAAAUUUAAUUUUCGAAAAGAAAAGAAAAAUGUAGUGUCAUGUGAUUUUGGCAAGUUUAAAAUAGAUGGCAAGUUAUUUUUAUUCAAGGGAAUUGGAACAGUUAUAACCUGUAUUCCAAGAUUCUUGUAUGCAGUUCUAUUGUAAGGAUUCUUUCCUUUUCCUGAAUUGUAUCUAGAAUUCUUAUAAUUAUUUCUAUUAAAAUUAGAGUAAUUCACCUGAUAGUCCCUUUCAGUUGAUGAAUUAUCCAAUUGUUUCGUGAGAAUCUCUUCCUUUAUCAGCAGAUCAAUAAGUUGACUAAAUGUGAUGUCUUCGUGAAAGUUGAGGGAGGUCCUGAAGAUCCUGAAUUCUGGUCCAAGACCCUUAAGAAUGUACUCAGAGACUCUUUCAUUAGACAUGAGAUAACCUGCAACAAUCAAGGAAUAUUUUACACUUUUAAAUUUAAAAAUGUACCUCAUUGUAAUAUCAACACUUUUGUUCAAAUAGUUCAUCUCAUUUCGCAAAGAUUGGAUCUAGUUCUCGUCAAUUAGCGAUACAUCAGUUUCCAAUAAAUGCCAUGCCUCAAAGGCAGAGGUGCAAGGUAGAAGCAAUGGUUGGAUUUCCUUGUUCAUAACCGCUUUAAUCCAGCUCAAGACAAU
rnacentral:lncRNA from 1 species